AGAGUUUGAUCCUGGCUCAGAACGAACGCUGGCGGCAUGCCUAACACAUGCAAGUCGAACGAAGUCUUCGGACUUAGUGGCGCACGGGUGCGUAACGCGUGGGAAUCUGCCCUUGGGUACGGAAUAACUCAGAGAAAUUUGUGCUAAUACCGUAUAAUGACUUCGGUCCAAAGAUUUAUCGCCCAAGGAUGAGCCCGCGUAAGAUUAGCUAGUUGGUGGGGUAAAGGCCCACCAAGGCGACGAUCUUUAGCUGGUCUGAGAGGAUGAUCAGCCACACUGGGACUGAGACACGGCCCAGACUCCUACGGGAGGCAGCAGUGGGGAAUAUUGGACAAUGGGCGAAAGCCUGAUCCAGCAAUGCCGCGUGAGUGAUGAAGGCCCUAGGGUUGUAAAGCUCUUUUACCCGGGAUGAUAAUGACAGUACCGGGAGAAUAAGCUCCGGCUAACUCCGUGCCAGCCGCCGCGGUAAUUC
rnacentral:rRNA from 1 species